rnacentral:lncRNA from 1 species
CGGGUGCAGUCUUAUCGUUUCUUUAACAACCGCUUGCAAAUAAGGGAGGUUUGGUAAUUCCGUUUCUUCAAUCAACCUUUUUUGUCCUACCACGCAAUCGAUUUCUCCUCUCAGUCUCUCAAGAACGUUACGGUUUUUUAUGAUCUCUGUCAUUGCCCACUGUGUUGUUUUCACCGAGUUAUCAGUACCUGCAAAUAAAAGAUCCUGCAAGUUGCAAAACGUUUUAUCUUAUAAGCAGAACACUUUUGAUUCUCAAUGAAACUACUACUUGAUGGGACGAGCAUUUACCGCGAUAACCGACUUGAUAUGGUUCCUUGUGAUCAUAUACUCUGCAUUUUCAUUACGAUGAGCUUCCAACAACGCGUCCAUCAAGUCCGUACCUUGAUGAUGCUCGUCUAGUUUCUUUUCGUGUUCUACAAGAAUCCUUUCGAGCAGCUCACUGAAUCUGUCGGAAACUACCUUUGUUUCCUUACUAAACAGUGAGACAACAAGCUUCUUAAACCCCGCACGCAACGUGUUUGCAAAGAAAAGCUUUUUUGUCAAAACAUCUAACUCGGUAGCCAAAGCCUUGAAACUCUCUUCUGAACAACUUCUCCCCAUGAUCAUCUUGCUGAUGGUGUAGUUAGUGAGCGUCAAAGUUUCAUUACUGAUCUCCACGCUCUCCUUAUUCAUGGCUUUGUCGAAGAUGUUCAUAUAAUACCGCUCUAGCUCAUCUGCACGGACACCACGUGACCUCUCGUGCGCUUGAGGUCCAAGAAAGUUUGUUACCAGGACCUUCUUCAUGAACUUCCAGUAAUCUCCAUAGGGAGCGGAGAUGAAGCUGAAAGCUCCGGCAAAAAGGGCAUCAUCGGUCGGAGUGAAGCCACGAUACGAAUUAUUCACGUCGUGCGUCCUGAAGAUCUCAUAAGCAACUGAGGCUGAGGAGACGAGGACUACAGGGAAACUGAAGACGCGGAGAUAGAGAAUAGGUCCGUACUUGGAGGAGAGUUUCUGUAAAGAUCUGUGGAUUAGAACAGAGAGGAGAAGGUGAAGAUGACCGAUGAUCGGAAGAGAGGGAGGACUCGGUGGCAGAUCAAAGCCACCACGUCUUGACCCGCUUGGUUUCUUGAAAAAGAGAUAGUAACAGAGGAGUGAGAAGAGACAUAAGAGGAUGAAGAUGAAACAGUUUUGAAAGCCAACGCUGAUAAACGCUGCCAUUAUUGCUCCGAAGUGAAGAAAGAGGCAAAAAUUACAAAGAGAAAUGAGCUUAUAAAGAAUCCACGAAUUUGAUAUGAGGGCAUGAUUUGUUUACUAUAGAACAAGACAAGUUCUUCCUUUUUCGAAAAUCUUGGAAGUGUAAUGGAAAUUGGCAAUAAUCUCUCUUUGCUAAGAAAGUAAAUGUCACAAAAUUCAUAGGAUGAAAGUUUAGGUUUUUACAUAGUUUAAGACCUAGGGUGUACAUAGUGCUCAUGGCCUAAAGUAAAAAGUGAAACUUUAUCGAGAAUCUAUGAAUAUUAAUGUAUAAAGUAAAACUGAAUCAUAUAUCAAGUGUCAUUUUUAAGAAAAGAGUAAAACUAAAUCAAUUUCUUCACUUUUGAAAAAUGACACUUGGUAUAUGAUUGAAUGCUUAAAGAAAUUAUUAGACAAGAGCUUUACACUAUGUAGUAUAUGAAUUACAAGAGUGAUAAAGGCACCUUUUAAUUAAUGUACAAUAUAUAAUAGCUUUCAUUCACAUAAUCAUUUGGUUUAGAUUGGUUUUGUUGAUUUUCUUUUUUGUUUAACCACUAUACAAUUAGAUUGUAUAAUCUUUUGGCUUCCAUUGUAUGGCCAUGCUUUGUUUAUUAAUUACUAGAAGAAAAGUUUUUCUUUUUCUUUUGGAAAAUCUAGAAGUUGAAGGUAAAAAGCAAAAUUUCACAUCGUUGCAAAUAGGAGAAGAACGAAAUCGACCUUAAAAGUCGCGACUUAAACUCGGAGAACAAUAGUUUUUACGGUUUCACACAAAAAACCAAAAGUAACCAACUAAACAGAAUUCAUGAACUCACGAACUGAAAUUCUGCAGAUUCGAAUUUAAAGGUUGCAUUCGAGCAACAGGAGUACACCUAAGAGGAUGAGCCAUGUUUAUGGUCAUUCCAGCAACAGUCUCUUCCAUGUUAACCUUGUCUUCUUUGAUUCUCCAGUCAAAGCAAUGCACCAUCAUUCCUAUUGCGGUUCCUACAAAUAUAUAACCUAUAUUUUCUCCAGGGCAUCCUCUUCUUCCGCUGCCAAAAGGAAGGUACUUUAGGGUUUGCUCUCUCUCCUCUUCUGGUCCUCUUGAAGAAGCUAGAAACCUCUCUGGCUUAAACUCAUCCGGAUCUUCCCAAGAACUAGGAUCUCUCAUCACGGCAUAAGCGUUAACUACAAGAGUUGUGUUCUUUGGUACGUAAAAGCCUCCAAUCAUACAUUCCCUUAUGACUUUCCUUCCCAAGAGAGGCCCUGGUGGGUGCAAUCUUAGCCCUUCCUUGAUGACCGCUUGCAAAUAAGGGAGGUCUGGUAGAUCCUUCUCCUGAAUCAACCUUGUUUUACCUACAACGGAAUCAAUUUCGUUUCUCAAUCUCUCAAGGAUGUUAGGCUUAUUAAUGAUCUCUGCCAUUGUCCACUCAAUUGUUUGCACUGAGGUGUCAGUGCCUCCAAGGAUAAGCUCCUGUUGUCAGAAUACUCAGAAAAAUCAAUGAUGUUGUAUUGGAUUCUCAAAUGAAUGCACUUACUAAAAAAGAAAAUUUAC